ACGCGAAAGUCCCCUUCGGGGGACAAGUAGAGUGGCGCACGGGUGAGUAACACGUAGGUAAUCUACCUUCGGAUGGGGAAUAACAACCGGAAACGGUUGCUAAUACCGCAUAAUGCAGCGGCACCUAAUGGUGACAGUUGUUAAAGCGGGGGAUCGAAAGACCUCGCGUCUGAAGAGGAGCCUGCGGCGGAUUAGCUAGUUGGUAAGGUAACGGCUUACCAAGGCGACGAUCCGUAGCCGGCCUGAGAGGGCGGUCGGCCACACUGACACUGACAUACGGGUCAGACUCCUACGGGAGGCAGCAGUCGGGAAUUUUGGGCAAUGGGCGAAAGCCUGACCCAGCAACGCCGCGUGAAGGAUGAAAUCCCUCGGGAUGUAAACUUCGCAAGAACGGGAAGAAUAAGUAGGGGACAAUACCCCCUAUGAUGACGGUACCGUUUGUAAGCUCCGGCUAACUCCGUGCCAGCAGCCGCGGUAAUACGGGGGGAGCAAGCGUUG
rnacentral:rRNA from 1 species